GACGGAGGGGGCUAGCGUUGUUCGGAAUUACUGGGCGUAAAGGGCGCGUAGGUGGUUAUCUAAGUUAGGUGUUAAAGACCCGGGCUUAACCUGGGGGGUGCACUUAAUACUGGAUAACUUGAGUGUGGAAGAGGAAAGUGGAAGUCCUAGUGUAGAGGUAAAAUUCGUAGAUAUUAGGAGGAACACCAGUGGCGAAGGCGACUUUCUGGUCCAUAACUGACACUGAGGCGCGAAAGCGUGGGGAGCAAACAGG
rnacentral:rRNA from 1 species